GCGGAUAAGAAAUGAGGAGGAAAGCGCAUCCCCUUCUUUCAUAGUUUGUGGAUGCCCAAAAUAUUAAUUUGCUUCUUGUGCUGUUGUGUCUUAGAAAUAUGGCUUCAGCUGUAUUGUGGGCCAUCACUUCUCUUUAAGAACACAACAGGCAUGCCACUGCGAAUAAAUAAAUUUGCGCGAAUUACGGAGCUACGCUUUAUUAUUAUAGAGAAAAAAAUUGUGAAAGAGAAGAAAAACAGAUCCGUCCAGGAGUAGUUACUUGCUCAGGGUAAUCAGAUCCAAUGGUGGAAAAGGAGCAAUAAAAUCGUUAGCAAUUGACCAUGUCAAAACGGGCAAGGUGGGUAACUGACCACUCUUUCGGUUUCAGAGGCCGAAACGCAAGCAAAUUCCCUCGCCUUUUCUAAAGCCCAAAUCUGUUGAAGCCUCAAACUUCCUAACAUCUCAAACAAACCCAAGCAUUUGGAAAAAUUUUUUCUUUAAUUUUCUAAGUUAAAGCUGUAGCCUCUAUCCUCUGCUUUAAUAGGAUCUCAUACUUCCCACGUCUGUGUGAUCUCUCUACUUAGAUUCAGGCAACUCUUGAACUUGAAUUGAGGGCUGUUUUUAUUGAUUUUUAUUUUUAUUUUUUAAAGGGAAUUGAGUUAUUGAUAAAAUAAUAAUGAUGGAGAGAGCAGAGUCGGGGCAGAAGCUAUAUACACGUAUGCG
rnacentral:misc_RNA from 1 species